rnacentral:rRNA from 1 species
AUUGAACGCUGGCGGAAUGCUUUACACAUGCAAGUCGAGCGGCAGCGCGGGGCAACCUGGCGGCGAGCGGCGAACGGGUGAGUAAUACAUCGGAACGUACCCUGUCGUGGGGGAUAACACAUCGAAAGAUGUGCUAAUACCGCAUACGACCUGAGGGUGAAAGCGGGGGACCGUAAGGCCUCGCGCGAUAGGAGCGGCCGAUGUCGGAUUAGCUAGUUGGUGGGGUAAAGGCCUACCAAGGCGACGAUCCGUAGCUGGUCUGAGAGGAUGAUCAGCCACACUGGGACUGAGACACGGCCCAGACUCCUACGGGAGGCAGCAGUGGGGGAAUCUUGCGCAAUGGGCGAAAGCCUGACGCAGCGACGCCGCGUGUGCGAUGAAGGUCUUCGGAUCGUAAAGCACUGUCGCGAGGGAAGAAACCUGACGGUACCUCGAGAGGAAGCACCGGCUAACUCUGUGCCAGCAGCCGCGGUAAU